rnacentral:rRNA from 1 species
GUAGGUGGCAAGCGUUGUCCGGAAUUAUUGGGCGUAAAGCGCGCGCAGGCGGUUCUUUAAGUCUGAUGUGAAAGCCCACGGGCUCAACCGUGGAGGGUCAUUGGAAACUGGAGAACUUGAGUACAGAAGAGGAAAGCGGAAUUCCACGUGUAGCGGUGAAAUGCGUAGAGAUGUGGAGGAACACCAGUGGCGAAGGCGGCCUUCUGGUCUGUAACUGACGCUGAGGCGCGAAAGCGUGGGGAGCAAACAGGAUUAGAUACCCUGGUAGUCCACGCCGUAAACGAUGAGUGCUAAGUGUUAGGGGGUUUCCGCCCCUUAGUGCUGCAGCUAACGCAUUAAGCACUCCGCCUGGGGAGUACGGCCGCAAAGGCUG